rnacentral:rRNA from 1 species
ACGAACGCUGGCGGCGUGCCUAAUACAUGCAAGUCGAACGCUUCUUUUUCCACCGGAGCUUGCUCCACCGGAAAAAGAGGAGUGGCGAACGGGUGAGUAACACGUGGGUAACCUGCCCAUCAGAAGGGGAUAACACUUGGAAACAGGUGCUAAUACCGUAUAACAAUCGAAACCGCAUGGUUUUGAUUUGAAAGGCGCUUUCGGGUGUCGCUGAUGGAUGGACCCGCGGUGCAUUAGCUAGUUGGUGAGGUAACGGCUCACCAAGGCGACGAUGCAUAGCCGACCUGAGAGGGUGAUCGGCCACAUUGGGACUGAGACACGGCCCAAACUCCUACGGGAGGCAGCAGUAGGGAAUCUUCGGCAAUGGACGAAAGUCUGACCGAGCAACGCCGCGUGAGUGAAGAAGGUUUUCGGAUCGUAAAACUCUGUUGUUAGAGAAGAACAAGGAUGAGAGUAACUGUUCAUCCCUUGACGGUAUCUAACCAGAAAGCCACGGCUAACUACGUGCCAGCAGCCGCGGUAAUACGUAGGUGGCAAGCGUUGUCCGGAUUUAUUGGGCGUAAAGCGAGCGCAGGCGGUUUCUUAAGUCUGAUGUGAAAGCCCCCGGCUCAACCGGGGAGGGUCAUUGGAAACUGGGAGACUUGAGUGCAGAAGAGGAGAGUGGAAUUCCAUGUGUAGCGGUGAAAUGCGUAGAUAUAUGGAGGAACACCAGUGGCGAAGGCGGCUCUCUGGUCUGUAACUGACGCUGAGGCUCGAAAGCGUGGGGAGCAAACAGGAUUAGAUACCCUGGUAGUCCACGCCGUAAACGAUGAGUGCUAAGUGUUGGAGGGUUUCCGCCCUUCAGUGCUGCAGCUAACGCAUUAAGCACUCCGCCUGGGGAGUACGACCGCAAGGUUGAAACUCAAAGGAAUUGACGGGGGCCCGCACAAGCGGUGGAGCAUGUGGUUUAAUUCGAAGCAACGCGAAGAACCUUACCAGGUCUUGACAUCCUUUGACCACUCUAGAGAUAGAGCUUCCCCUUCGGGGGCAAAGUGACAGGUGGUGCAUGGUUGUCGUCAGCUCGUGUCGUGAGAUGUUGGGUUAAGUCCCGCAACGAGCGCAACCCUUAUUGUUAGUUGCCAUCAUUUAGUUGGGCACUCUAGCAAGACUGCCGGUGACAAACCGGAGGAAGGUGGGGAUGACGUCAAAUCAUCAUGCCCCUUAUGACCUGGGCUACACACGUGCUACAAUGGGAAGUACAACGAGUCGCAAAGUCGCGAGGCUAAGCUAAUCUCUUAAAGCUUCUCUCAGUUCGGAUUGUAGGCUGCAACUCGCCUACAUGAAGCCGGAAUCGCUAGUAAUCGCGGAUCAGCACGCCGCGGUGAAUACGUUCCCGGGCCUUGUACACACCGCCCGUCACACCACGAGAGUUUGUAACACCCGAAGUCGGUGAGGUAACCUUUUGGAGCCAGCCGGCUAAGGUGGGAUAGAUGAUUGGGGUG